CAUAGGUUAAUGAGGCGAACCGGGGGAACUGAAACAUCUAAGUACCCCGAGGAAAAGAAAUCAACCGAGAUUCCCCCAGUAGCGGCGAGCGAACGGGGAGGAGCCCAGAGCCUGAAUCAGUGUGUGUGUUAGUGGAAGCGUCUGGAAAGGCGCGCGAUACAGGGUGACAGCCCCGUACACAAAAAUGCACAUAUUGUGAGCUCGAUGAGUAGGGCGGGACACGUGGUAUCCUGUCUGAAUAUGGGGGGACCAUCCUCCAAGGCUAAAUACUCCUGACUGACCGAUAGUGAACCAGUACCGUGAGGGAAAGGCGAAAAGAACCCCGGCGAGGGGAGUGAAAAAGAACCUGAAACCGUGUACGUACAAGCAGUGGGAGCCUCUUUAUGGGGUGACUGCGUACCUUUUGUAUAAUGGGUCAGCGACUUAUAUUCUGUAGCAAGGUUAACCGAAUAGGGGAGCCGAAGGGAAACCGAGUCUUAACUGGGCGUUAAGUUGCAGGGUAUAGACCCGAAACCCGGUGAUCUAGCCAUGGGCAGGUUGAAGGUUGGGUAACACUAACUGGAGGACCGAACCGACUAAUGUUGAAAAAUUAGCGGAUGACUUGUGGCUGGGGGUGAAAGGCCAAUCAAACCGGGAGAUAGCUGGUUCUCCCCGAAAGCUAUUUAGGUAGCGCCUCGUGAAUUCAUCUCCGGGGGUAGAGCACUGUUUCGGCAAGGGGGUCAUCCCGACUUACCAACCCGAUGCAAACUGCGAAUACCGGAGAAUGUUAUCACGGGAGACACACGGCGGGUGCUAACGUCCGUCGUGAAGAGGGAAACAACCCAGACCGCCAGCUAAGGUCCCAAAGUCAUGGUUAAGUGGGAAACGAUGUGGGAAGGCCCAGACAGCCAGGAUGUUGGCUUAGAAGCAGCCAUCAUUUAAAGAAAGCGUAAUAGCUCACUGGUCGAGUCGGCCUGCGCGGAAGAUGUAACGGGGCUAAACCAUGCACCGAAGCUGCGGCAGCGACACUAUGUGUUGUUGGGUAGGGGAGCGUUCUGUAAGCCUGUGAAGGUGGCCUGUGAGGGUUGCUGGAGGUAUCAGAAGUGCGAAUGCUGACAUAAGUAACGAUAAAGCGGGUGAAAAGCCCGCUCGCCGGAAGACCAAGGGUUCCUGUCCAACGUUAAUCGGGGCAGGGUGAGUCGACCCCUAAGGCGAGGCCGAAAGGCGUAGUCGAUGGGAAACAGGUUAAUAUUCCUGUACUUGG
rnacentral:rRNA from 1 species